GGCUUCAUCUUGGGCACUAUGACCAGUCUGUGACUACUACGAUACGCUUUGUGUUCUGCCACCUUUCUAUCAUGGCCAGCAUUAAGCUUUUCAGCAAUUUGAGGAACAGUAGCAUCAAGGAGUCUUGGGCGGUCAUGACCCUGAGGCUUGUUGUCCUUCCUUGUACCACUUUUGGUGGGUACUAACCACUGCAUACUUGCAAC